UAACAUUGGGGAGAUGGGCGCGCUAACGUUUGGGAGGCAGAUGCUUUACACGCAGUCAAUUGUUUUUACUGAAAUAUGCUCUGACAGGGACACGGAUUGUACAGCCUUAUACACGUGAGGGGGAGACAGGGGGGUGGAGUUGACAGGACUCGGCUUUGUAGUGCUAGCCCAUGGGUCGGAUGGGACUAUAGUUGUGCAUACCUAAGGCACUAUUGGGGGAGGGGCAAAAGAGCAAAUGCAUUGCUAAGGCAGCUGGGAGUUGUAAUUAAGUGCUGGCUAGUGAGGGAGUAUUUUACAGAUCAAUGACAGUAGCGCUGUCUUUUGCGAAGCCACACCCCCUGUUCUCUAUUGGCCUGCGGAGCAUGUGUUUGAGAAACUUAUGGAGCCGGGUUGCUAACUGCAAACAAUUUGAAUAACUGAGGAGCCUGCUUUGUGUUUUGAGGUUUUAGUUGAUGCUGCUGUCACGGUACUAAAUCUGAUCCCAUAAUCCACAUUGGGGCUGCAUGGUAUGGAUUGGAAAUUGCCCGGUUAUUAUUGGGGUAUUUAUAACAAGUGUAGGGGUGUGUAUCAGGGAUGGGUUCAAUAUUCACUGGUAUAGCUGCAAGCUGUGCAACCAAGGGUUAAUGUGGGGUGCCACUUUUUACCCAGUACAACUAUCUCUGCCCAUAUGCUGUAUUGACCAAUGAACAUAGCCCUCCUUUCUGAAGCCACGCCCCCAAUAAUGACAGUUAGUUCAGUUGGAAGGAGGAAUCAAGGAGGAUGGAUUGCUGGUUGUGCUGUCUCGCUAGUACCCAGAAGACUGCAGCAUGUACCCCAAUAAUGGCAGGAAGGUGAGAUAGUAUCUUUUUAUAGUUAUAUAGCAGCAAGGGUUGAAAAAAUACACAUAACCAUCAAAGUUAACUUUUUGUUUAACUAAAUGAUACUUAAAGUCUGCACUGCCCAGUAGAUAGUGAUGACAGUUAGUUCAGUUGGAAGGAGAAUCAGGAUGAUGGUUGGUGGUUUUGCAGUCUGGCUAGUAUCCAGGACAAGGCAGCGUGUACCCCAGUAAUGGCAGGAAAGUGAGGUACCUAAAUGUCAGGUUUGUCAAUUUCUCCUUGUUAUAAUAUCUUGCCUAAAUUCUGGGGUGAGCAAGAAGCAGCAUGGGUCCUGUUUGUAUGCCUGGGAAAUAAUAUCUGUGAGUAUAUGUAAGGGUAUUGGCAUUAUAUUUACAUAGUUAUAAAUAUUGCUGUAACUGUAGCUAGUUUAUAAAGAUCUCAGGAGAUUCUAGCUCCAUAGCACUAAAUUUAAUACCAAGCAACUGACAAAGCAAUGGUCUGAGAAACUUAAGGAGCCGGGGUUGCUAACGGAAAAGAAGUUAAACAAUUGAGGAGCCAGCUUUGUGUUUUAAGGUUUUAGUUGACACUGCUGUCACUGUACUACAUCUGAUCCCAUAAUCCACAUUGGGGCUGCAUGGUAUGGAUUGGAAAUUGCCCUGUUAUUAUUGGGGUAUUUAUAACAGCUGUAGGGGUGUGUGUCAGGGAUGGGUUCAAUAUGUCAGGCAAGUGAUUUCUUGUCAUGUGUGAAUAUGAUUCACUAGUAUAGCUGCAGGCUGGGCAUGGGAACCAAGGGUUCAUAUGGGUUGCUACUUUUUACCCAGUGCAAUUGUCUCUGCCCACUGGCUCUAUUGACCAAUGAACAUAGCCCUCCUUUCUGAAGCCACGCCCCAGUAAUGACAGUUAGGUCAGUUGGAAGGAGGAAUCAAGGAGGAUGGUUUGCUGGUUGUGCUGUCUCGCUAGUACCCAGAAGACUGCAGCAUGUACCCCAAUAAUGGCAGGAAGCUGCUGCUAAACAAGGGAUGGCUUGGAAAGGCUGGCUCAUUCCAGAAGAAAAGGAUAAAGUCCCAGACAAAAGUACAGGGCAGGCCCUGGGUGUCUGGGAAUCUGCGCCACUUCUGAGAUGUCCAACGCGCUUCAAGGCAGCUCAUCCGGGAUGAUGAAAGGACAAAAGGACGAGUCUAUGGAAUCUUAUACAUAAUGUGGUUCUGAUAGAUAUUUGCUGAUGAUUUAGAGUGGCUUCUCUGUUUUGCCUUGCGUGUUGACCAAUACAUUGCCUAGGAAUACAUGAUUUGUCCAAAAUCCCCUCCAGAUUCUCAGGGACAUCACUAAAGAACAGUGACGUAUCAUAUAAUAUUUAGAAUGUUUCAUGUGAAAUUAUCAGUAGAAUUAUCAGGGCUCCCAUCAGGGGGCACAGGGAGAGGCCAGUUGUCCCAGACCAGGCGCAUUUCAAGUUUAAAGGGCACUGAGAGGGGUUGUUCAUCUUUGGUGUCACUUUUAUUAUAAUGUAGAAAGUUAUAUUCUGAGACAAUUUGCAAUUGGUUUUUAUUUUUUAUUAUUUUGCUUUUUAUUCAGCAGCUCUCCAGUUUGCAAU